AUAUGGUCAAAGUAAUAAAGAGUCUAUGGUGGAUGCCUAGGAGCUUUAAGGCGAAGAAGGUCGUGGUAAGCUGCGAAAAGCUUGGGGGAGAAGCAAACAUUCUAUGAUCCCAAGAUUACCGAAUGGAGUAAUCCA
rnacentral:rRNA from 1 species